AUUGCACGCUGGCGGCAGACCUAACACAUGCAAGUCGAACGGAGUGGCGGACGGGUGAGUAAUGUCUGGGAAACUGCCUGAUGGAGGGGGAUAACUACUGGAAACGGUAGCUAAUACCGCAUACUAUCAGAUGAGCCUAGGGCGGAUUAGCUAGUUGGUGGGGUAAAGGCCUACCAAGUCGACGACCCGUAACUGGUCUGAGAGGAUGAUCAGUCACACUGGAACGGAGACACGGUCCAGACUCCUACGGGAGGCAGCAGUAGGGAAUAUUGGACAAUGGGCGAAAGCCUGAUCCAGCCAUGCCGCGUGUGUGAAGAAGGGCUUCGGAUUGUAAAGCACUUUAAGUUGGGAGGCGUUACCAACAGAAUAAGCACCGGCUAACUUCGUGCCAGCAGCCGCGGUAAUUC
rnacentral:rRNA from 1 species